GAUGAUGUGGGGUACUUACUGUUUACUCUUUACAUCUUACUUUACACACUCAAGGGAGAGACUGUAUGACACUAGUUGGUACAGCCUGAGACAUGCACAAUAAAAAAAAAAACUGCCAUCCGCCUUUUUGCUUUUCUCUCCAUUGGACCAAA